GAUGAACGCUGGCGGCGUGCCUAAUACAUGCCAGUCGAGCGAACAGACGAGGAGCUUGCUCCUCUGACGUUAGCGGCGGACGGGUGAGUAACACGUGGAUAACCUACCUAUAAGACUGGGAUAACUUCGGGAAACCGGAGCUAAUACCGGAUAAUAUAUUGAACCGCAUGGUUCAAUAGUGAAAGACGGUUUUGCUGUCUCUUAUAGAUGGAUCCGCGGCGCAUUAGCUAGUUGGUAAGGUAACGGCUUACCAAGGCGACGAUGCGUAGCCGACCUGAGAGGGGGAACGGCCACACUGGAACUGAGACAAGGGCCAGACUCCUAAGGGAGGCAGCAGGAGGGAAUCUUCCGCAAUGGGCGAAAGCCUGACGGAGCAACGCCGCGUGGGUGAUGAAAGUCUUCGGAUCGUAAAACUCUGUUAGUAGGGAAGAACAAAUGUGUAAGUAACUAUGCACGUCUUGACGGUACCUAAUCAGAAAGCCACGGCUAACUACGUG
rnacentral:rRNA from 1 species